rnacentral:lncRNA from 1 species
UAAUUAGUCCAAUAUCAAAAAAUCAAAUGAUAAUUUACAUAAUUAUAAGCAUAAAAAGAUGGGAGCAUAUGGAUUAGUUGACCAUAUAUGAAAUAUAGUGUAUCAGUCAUGGGCUGAGAUGUUUUAGUCUGCUACAGGCUAGAGCAUGGUUGUAAUUAGUCUAAUAUCGAAAUUAAAUCAAGAUGAUGAACCAUAUCUAAUUGAAGGAUAUUUGUGAUGCC